rnacentral:lncRNA from 8 species
CCUGGUCAAGCCCGUGUCUCCUCCACGGACCGGUCCUCCAGUGGGUCUCUCCACCCUGGUCUCUCCUGUGCCACCUCCUCAAGCCAGGCCUCCGUUAUGUCUCCCCAGCCUGGUGAAUCCUGAGUCGGAGCUGCCCGCCAGUCAACAGUCGUCGGAGCUGCCCGCCAGUCAACAGUCGUCGGAGCUGCCCGCCAGUCAACAGUCGACGGAGCUGCCCGCCAGUCGACAGUCGUCAGAGCUGCCCGCCAGUCAACAGUCGCCAGAGAGGUCAGACUGCCCUGAACUGCCGGAGUGGCCAGACUGCCCUGAACUGCCGGAGUGGCCGGACUGCCCUGAACUGCNNNNNNNNNNNNNNNNNNNNNNNNNNNNNNNNNNNNNNNNNNNNNNNNNNNNNNNNNNNNNNNNNNNNNNNNNNNNNNNNNNNNNNNNNNNNNNNNNNNNGGUGAGAGAGAGACAGGAGAGAGAGGAGAGAGAGAGAGGAGAGAGAGGUGAAGUUUUCAGACUCCGGCUGUGGUGGAAUCCCAGCGUGCAUUGCGCCCUCAGACCUACUACCUUUCUUUUGAGCGACGGGGAACAGCACACACACACGACACACACAAACACCACACACACACACACACACACAUUGCACUCUAAAAGGACCAAGGCACAGAUAUUGACCAAUGUACAUAUUAUAGUCCUCACACACACAAACACACACAUACUUUCAAAUACAUAUAUGUCCGUAAUCGUACCCAUUGAACUGGACUCAGUUUGAAAAUGGUUUGUGAGGAGUUUGUCUGGAGUGUGUAGGGCUGUGAAGAUCACACACAUACACGACCCAGGAAGUACUUACUAAAGUCAUUGAUGAGAUGAUGAAUAAUGGUGAUAUAUCACUUCUUUGGACCAUAACAUGUCAUAUUACAUGGCUAUUACAUGUGUAUAACAUGAUACAAAUAGGAAGGCCUCCAUUUCGUAAUAAAAAAAGGAAAACAGGAAAAAAUAUUGAGACAAAAUGAGUAGUUUAGAGAAACUUUGGAGAGAGAUCCUUAUGGCCUGUAAAUAAUUUAGUUUAAGAAGAGUAACAUUUAGACAAUUACAAAAAAAUGCAAAAAGAAGAGUACUUUAGAUAAAUCACUGAAAAAUGACACAAUAUUAUUAUUAUUGUUAUUAUUAUUAUUAUCUUCGUUAGGGGAUAUUGUAUUAGAAAUAAAGAAAGGGGAGAAUCACAAACAUAUUUUCAAUUUCUACUUAGAUUUUAGGAUAAAUGUGGGUGGGAGGGACUGCACCUUUUCUGAGAGGUUUUAAUAUUUUAACAAUUUUUUAUUUAUUGACUAAUUUAUCAAUUAUUUUUGUUAAUAGGGAGAAAUGAUGAAGGGUUUAAAGGGGUUACGAGUUUCUGAUUUUAGAAUUUUUUUAGAGCAAAAAAGGGUCUGUUUCUGUCAGACUCGGUCAGAGUAAUUAUAAUUAUGAAUGAAUUAUUACAACAAUGAUAUUUAUUUCUUAUUUAUUGAGUCUGUUUUUGAUCCAAUCUCUUUUUAAGUUAAAAUAAAAAGUAUAAUACAUCAAAUACGUUUUUCGUGAUUUAUUGUGUGUGUGUGUGUGUGUGUGUGUGUGUGUGUGUGUGUGUGUGUGUGUGUGUGUGUGUGUGUGUGUGUGUGUGUAAGAGAGAGAGGGGGAGAGAGAGAGGGAGAGAGAGAGAGAGAUAGAGAGAGAGAGAGAGAGAGGGAGAGAUAGAGGGGGAGGGAGAGGGGGAGAGAGAGGGAGAGAUAGAGGGGGAGAGAGAGAGAGAGAGGGAGAGAGAGGGGGAGGGAGAGGGGGAGAGAGAGAGAGGGAGAGAUAGAGAUAGAGGGGGAGAGAGAGAGAGAGAGAGAGAGAGAGAGAGAGAGGGGGAGGGAGAGGGGGGGAGAGAGAGAGAGAGGGGAGGGAGAAAGGAAAGUGCGAGAGUGCGGGACAGAGGAGAGUGCAAGAGAGAGAAGCGUGUGAGAGAGAGGUAGAGGGGAGAAGGAACAGUUAAAAUAUGUAAAAGAGAGAGAAGGAACAGUACAGAUUGUAAUUGACCAAUAGAGGGCGAGACAGGCACAGAUUCCAGUCUCCACCUCAGUAGGCAGUUCUCUCUCAAGAGAGGGUCUGGUAGAUAUGGUAGGUAGGCUAUAGCCCUGCCCCAAACCACCAGUAGUUGUCUAGGUUGAUGUGUUUAAGGGUGAAAGAGUUUAUCAGUCAUUCUUUAUGAGAGCCUGAGUGUGCAUGGUGUUUAUAAAUAGUUGGGAAAGCUACUGCAUGAUGGCUAUGUGAUUGUAAUCAGAUCACAGUCAAAGGUUGGCUCUGCAGUGAAGUCUGAGGUGGUGUGUUCACUUAAUAAUAUGUAGCCUAAAUGUGCAUUAAAUAAUGUAGUUAAACUUGUCUGCAAUACAUAUCUCAACUUCAAUAUAUAAAUAUAAUAACAUAAGGUACGCCAUGAGUAGCUUAGGGCUAAACAGCAAAUUCUCCAGUGUUAAAUCAACACUGGCCAGUGUCUAUACGGGUCCACACUUUUCAGUGUUAAAUUAUUACUGUGCUAGUGUUGACGCUGUUACACUUCCUGGUCCCUUCCUUUAUGCAAAUUAUUUCACAGCUCUUCUUUCAAAAUAAUAUGUAUUUAUUUAUUGUAAGACACAUUGAUGUAAUCAGUUAAUGGUGCCACCUGUCAAUGCUUUUAUAGGGCAGGAUAAUUAGGAUUUAAAUGGUUUUCUGUCCAGAUCUGUCUACACUUGUACGAUAUACAGACAAAAUAUGUGUCUGACUACCUUUGGAGGCGUAUGGGGUCUUUUGAUUGUCUACACCUGUCUACAAAUGUGGGCACUAUGAGAAUGUGGACAAGAUCAGGACAAAGGACACCAGUUAGAACCAUGUGUUAAAAGAGCAAGAGUCAGUGUUUGGGAAUGAACACUUUCAGUGUUAUGCACAUACAUACUACAUGUUAAUGUCUUUAAAUGUAUGUAAAUUGUAAAGUAUUUUGUCUGUAAUGUCUUUCUCGUUAUAUGUCGGGCCCCAGUAAGACUAGCUGUCACCUUUGGCAUCGGCUAAUGGGGAUCCUAAUAAAUCAAAUGCAAUAACAACUCAUAUAGUAUUUUGAUCACUAUGAAGUGUAUAUAGUUUACAACAAUGGUGUUAUGCAAUAGCACCUUAUAUAGUAUUUUAAGUCUUUAUUGCCACAUGCUCUUAUGUUUAUAAAGACUUCAGAAAUGGCAGCAGACAUGCUCAAAUGUUAAUUAACAUAACCAUAGAUCCAUAAAACUGGUACAUCACUUCCAUUUACGGGUGGCCAAAAAUAAUGAUUUGAAAGCCAAGCCCCCACGAAUCCAAUAUAAUUCCCCAGUGUGCCUUGCCUUUUCGAGUGAAUUGUAGAGUUACCGCCCAUGACUGUAUUUGUUAGUGAGAGAGACAUGGUUGUUGAAUUCGUUCAUUUUCAGUUCCGUGGACUUGACCAAGUGAGUUUCUACUGUAUGUGAAUGUUAUCAUUAAAAC